CGCGCCGCCGCUGCUCCAGCUUCGCCCGGCCCCGAGAGCUGCGCUCAAACCACAGCCGCAACGUCCUGGCCAGCAGGCGCUGGCGCCGGUGCCACAGCGCCGCGAGCAUUUGCGGCUGCCCCCGGGGCGCGUGCAGCGAAAUCAAACUGAGGACCUUGCCCCGCAGGAGCUGUGCCUGAGAUACAUCUCCCGCCCCUAUAUGUAUCUUUUUAAAAACAACAUUGAUACCUUGUAGAAAGGGUGGGGAAACUUCCACUUACUGCUCUGGAAAGGUUGUGUAAUAGAGAAUCAGAUCAAUCUGAUUUCGGAGAGGCUGCCCGGCUGCUGGAAGGACAGCAUUUAACUCAACCUCUGAGACAAAAGAAAUACAACAAUAAAUCUGCCAGACAAUG